rnacentral:rRNA from 1 species
AUUGAACGCUGGCGGCAUGCUUUACACAUGCAAGUCGAACGGCAGCGCGGGCUUCGGCCUGGCGGCGAGUGGCGAACGGGUGAGUAAUACAUCGGAACGUGCCCCGUAGUGGGGGAUAGCUCGGCGAAAGCCGGAUUAAUACCGCAUACGACCUGAGGGUGAAACCGGGGGAUCUUCGGACCUCGCGCUAUUGGAGCGGCCGAUGGGAGAUUAGCUAGUUGGUGGGGUAAAGGCCUACCAAGGCGACGAUCUGUAGCUGGUCUGAGAGGACGACCAGCCACACUGGGACUGAGACACGGCCCAGACUCCUACGGGAGGCAGCAGUGGGGAAUUUUGGACAAUGGGCGAAAGCCUGAUCCAGCAAUGCCGCGUGUGUGAUGAAGGCCUUCGGGUUGUAAAGCACUUUUGGCGGGAACGAAAAGGACUGUGCCAAUACCACGGUUCGAUGACGGUACCCGCAGAAUAAGCACCGGCUAACUACGUG